GCUGUAAACAAAGUCAAUGAAGUAGAUGAGUUUACUACCUGUAUAUACUUUUUUUUUUGUCAAAGUCACUUUUAUGGCAUUUCCAUGUUGAAGGAUUAGCCACAGCACUAAAUUUUCAGCGUAUGAUUGCUUUUAAAUAUUUAAUUUUCAUCGUUUUUUAAUUAAUAUUCAAAACGAUUUAAUGCCUUCUACAUCUGAAGUCAAGCUCAUAGACUCGGGUUGGGUAGCUAAAACUACAUCUAACACGAAGGGGUAUAGCCUUCUUAAAGUAUACUCAUGUAUAAACGUUUUGGGUUCAUAUUUUUGGGCCACGUGGUUUAUAAAAAUUCUUAACUACACCACUCGGUAUCCCGCACCCGUCUACGUUUCUACGAUUUCGAGCUAAUAUUGAGUAAAGUGAUUAGCAAAAAAAAUAAAAGUACUCGUUGUCGGAGAUCAAGAAUUUUUCUAUUAUCUCAUCUAAACCACUUUCUAAAAGCGAAAAACAAAAUCGUAAUAUGCAGCUUGAAUGGGCUUCCAUAGUUUGAAAGAAAAACCCUAGCAGUACUGGCAAGGGAGACAUUCCUUUUAAAGGUUGGCAGGCUCGACAUAACGAAGUGAGUUGCCGCUGAAGACACCUCCCUUUUGCUUAAUUUCAUCUUGGAUCUCGGCAAUGGCUUCUUGUUUGCCCAUGGGAUCCUUCUCAUCGGGGUCAAGUUCCCAGGUCAAGUAACCGUUAGUACAGUUGGGCUCAAAAUCUUGGGGGAUGAUGCCCAAACGCUUGGAAUAAUUGGUAACCUUGUUCCAAUCUCUGGGGACGUUAGAGAUGUCAUGUGAGAAAUAUGCAAAGCAACGUUCAAAUUGUUCCCGAUGAAGUUCGGAUCCCAUUUCACGCUUGAAGUGAAUGUACUCCUUGUAGGUUUGGACAGGAUCUUUAAGCAUAUCCAAAGUAGCAGAAUGGAUAGCACGUAAGAAGGCCUUGAUCUUGUCGGGAUGUUUAGCAAUGAAUUCAUCAUGUGCAAUAUACAAAAUGGUACAGAAACAGCAGCAACCUAAGUUGGCUAAUCGAUCAAUACGCAACAUUUGGACAUCAGACCUUGGGCGGCCUUGGGAGACGCACCAGCGCUCAAGCUCGACUUGUUGCAUGCAUUCAAUGCCAAUGCCGCCAUCGAUUUCACCAUUGAUGAUGGCAGGGGCAAUGUUCAUACCACAGCGAAUAGCAGUAUAAUCAGAAGGAGACAAACCGAACUUGCUGCACAAGUCAUCGAGUUGGAUCUUUCCAAACUCACCAACGUAGCCAAUACGCUUUCCUUUAAUGUCCUUGAAGUCGUUGAUGCCAUUACCCUUCAAAGUAAUUAAGCCAGUGAAAGGCUCAUUUAACAAAGAUCCAAAACUGGUGACAGGGUAUCCGCGAGCCUUAGCAGCUAAAGUAUGGAUCAUGGCCUUUAAUCCCAUGUCAACCUUACCAGAACCAAUCAAUGCUGUAACGUCGGAAGGGUUGGUAGGCUCGAGAAUAGCAACCUCAAUCCCUUCACGCUCAUAGUAUCCGCGAGUUUGAGCAAGAAAGAUGGGCAAAUGGUAAGGAGUGGCCUCCCAGUUUGUGAGGAAAGUGAUCUUGUUAGUAGACAUGAUUUAACAAAGCGACUAUAAGUCAGAAAGUGAGAAUGAGAUUGAAAUAAUUAAUUCAACUUAUUCAAUUGAUGAUAUGCCAGGAUUCCUCUUCCUUUAUAUAUCUUCAAUGUUUCGAUUAACAGGUCCAUUAUCCGGUUUUUAGUUUCGCUGCACAUUGCCGAAUGACAAUCGGAUUCCUUUAAGCUUUGCUUUUGCCCUGUUUUCUCUCCCCAGUAAUCGUUGGGUGACUGAACCAUCCAGUAGCCGAGAGUUACGUUUUUCCUGAUUUAAUAAAUAUCCAUAUCUAUUUGUCUCGUGGUGUUUUACAGCAACUAACCGAAAUUACUAUUUUGCAUCAUCCAACCAUAAAGAGACAACAAUAAUUCUAGAAAACAUAUAACAAGUGUUUUUUUCUAUUUACGUCUCAUACGCAAAGUCCACUUUACCAUGUUUUGGAAACUUGUACCCAACCAUUCAUUUUUCGAUUUUGUAAUGAGGCUCUUUUCUUCUAACAAUCAUUGAGGUCAUUAUCAUGUGUCCUCACCUAUUGUUUAAAUUGAGGCUUGCGCUAUUCCCAAAAUUGUGGGUAUUAUUUUCAUAUAUCAGUAUCUGCAAUUUCGGUUCAACUUUCUUAUCAAGAAAGAGGAUUAAUUUCUUAACAAAAACCUUCUUUGUUUUAUAACGCUGAUUUUUGUAUUAUUUGGCGACCAAGGUUAUAAGUGAUCCAAUCCAAAUGUCAUAACUUCAGUUGAUCCCUGCGGAAAAUAUAAAUCAGAUUAGACAUAUGGUUAUAUAAAAAAAAAGAGAAAUUAUUUGAGUUCAUUGAAACUUCAACGUUAUUUGACUAAAACUUGUUAAUUUACAUGUCUGCAAGAUUAAUCCAGCAUAUUAAAUAAAUUAGUUGACUUAUGUCAAACAAAUAAUACAUUCUUGAUAUUAUUAGAAAAAAAAAAGAAAAUUGAAUAACUUGUGAGAAAUGAUAUUGUUAUUAUUUUAGAUUAUGU